AGUGAACGCUGGCGGUAGGCCUAACACAUGCAAGUCGAACGGCAGCACAGUAAGAUCUUGCUCUUACGGGUGGCGAGUGGCGGACGGGUGAGGAAUACAUCGGAAUCUACUUUUUCGUGGGGGAUAACGUAGGGAAACUUACGCUAAUACCGCAUACGACCUACGGGUGAAAUCAGGGGAUCUUCGGACCUUUCGCGAUUGAAUGAGCCGAUGUCGGAUUAGCUAGUUGGCGGGGUAAAGUCCCACCAAGGCGACGAUCCGUAGCUGGUCUGAGAGGAUGAUCAGCCACACUGGAACUGAGACACGGUCCAGACUCCUACGGGAGGCAGCAGUGGGGAAUAUUGGACAAUGGGCGCAAGCCUGAUCCAGCCAUACCGCGUGGGUGAAGAAGGCCUUCGGGUUGUAAAGCCCUUUUGUUGGGAAAGAAAAGCAGCAGGUUAAUACCCCGCUGUUCUGACGGUACCCAAAGAAUAAGCACCGGCUAACUUCGUG
rnacentral:rRNA from 1 species